rnacentral:sRNA from 29 species
AUCUAAUGCAGGUAGUUAUUACGCUGUCUACCCGUGUAAUCGAACCUAAAGUUUAAGCGACAUGUAAUGUCGUCGACCACGGGGGCCUCGCUAUGUUUAGCGGGGCUUUUAUUUUGC